AUGACCACGCGCUUCAUGGUGUGUGGUGGAAAGCUUUUGCGGUGUGGGAUGGGCCCGCGGCCUAUCAGCUUGUUGGUGGGGUAAUGGCCUACCAAGGCGACGACGGGUAGCCGGCCUGAGAGGGUGACCGGCCACACUGGGACUGAGAUACGGCCCAGACUCCUACGGGAGGCAGCAGUGGGGAAUAUUGCACAAUGGGCGCAAGCCUGAUGCAGCGACGCCGCGUGAGGGAUGACGGCCUUCGGGUUGUAAACCUCUUUCAAUAGGGACGAAGCGCAAGUGACGGUACCUAUAGAAGAAGGACCGGCCAACUACGUGCCAGCAGCCGCGGUAAUACGUAGGGUCCGAGCGUUGUCCGGAAUUACUGGGCGUAAAG
rnacentral:rRNA from 1 species